rnacentral:rRNA from 1 species
ACAUGACUACAUCAUAGAGUUAAAGAACCGGAUCCCAUUAGAACUCUGUAGUUAAGCACGCUUAGGCUAGAGUAGUACUUGGAUGGGUGACCACCCAGGAAGUCCUAAUGUUUUACAUGCC